rnacentral:rRNA from 1 species
GACGAACGCUGGCGGCGUGCUUAACACAUGCAAGUCGAACGGAAAGGCCCUGCUUUUGUGGGGUGCUCGAGUGGCGGACGGGUGAGUAACACGUGAGUAACCUGCCCUUGACUUUGGGAUAACUUCAGGAAACUGGGGCUAAUACCGGAUAGGAGCUCCUGCUGCAUGGUGGGGGUUGGAAAGUUUCGGCGGUUGGGGAUGGACUCGCGGCUUAUCAGCUUGUUGGUGGGGUAGUGGCUUACCAAGGCUUUGACGGGUAGCCGGCCUGAGAGGGUGACCGGCCACAUUGGGACUGAGAUACGGCACAGACGCCUACGGGAGGCAGCAGUGGGGAAUAUUGCACAAUGGGCGGAAGCCUGAUGCAGCAACGCCGCGUGCGGGAUGACGGCCUUCGGGUUGUAAACCGCUUUCGCCUGUGACGAAGCGUGAGUGACGGUAAUGGGUAAAGAAGCACCGGCUAACUACGUG